GUCUUUACUUGGGUCUACAUCACAUGCAUAUUGAAAGUGUCUACAGCAACUCCUCCUACUCCAAUAAGUCCUGAACAGAAAGCUUGUUCUUUCUCUGCUAAUAAGUGGGUAUCCGCAGAUGGUUCUGACCAGGUGUGUGCCUGCUGUGACACCUUCUGUAGUACCAGAAAUGGUCGUGAUCCGAUGAUUAAAGAUCUGUGGUGGGAUAAAGCAUCUGUUGGACCCAUUAAUGUCAAGGAAUAUGGCCAUGGACAAAAAAUGACUGGAAAUGCCAUGUGAUGUUUAAAAAGUAAAAAAAUUUAGUCUUAA